UGGGGAAUAUUGCACAAUGGGGGAAACCCUGAUGCAGCGACGCCGCGUGAGCGAUGAAGGCUUUCGAGUCGUAAAGCUCUGUCCUAUGGGAAGAUAAUGACGGUACCAUAGAAGAAAGCCCCGGCUAAUUACGUGCCAGCAGCCGCGGUAAUACGUAGGUGGCAAGCGUUGUCCGGAAUUAUUGGGCGUAAAGCGCGCGCAGGUGGUUUAGAAAGUCUGAUGUGAAAGCCCACGGCUCAACCGUGGAGGGUCAUUGGAAACUAAUAAACUUGAGUGCAGGAGAGAAAAGUGGAAUUCCUAGUGUAGCGGUGAAAUGCGUAGAGAUUAGGAGGAACACCGGUGGCGAAAGCGGCUUUUUGGCCUGCAACUGACACUGAGGCGCGAAAGCGUGGGGAGCAAACAGG
rnacentral:rRNA from 1 species